rnacentral:misc_RNA from 1 species
GGGGGACCAAGUUCAUACAAAGGUAAUGUGAGGCUAGACUUUGGCACUAAAUGCUUUACAAAUAUUGGUGCCUGAGGAUGGUGUCACUUAUAGGAUUCAAGUCAUUGUAUUUCUAAAGCAAUACAUAGUUGUACUUGGGAAAAAAAAAUGAGAGAGUUAUCAACAGAUAUAAGACAAAAGUAGCCUAACUCCAUUUAAUACCAUUGGUAUCUACGUAAAACUAAAUCAACGGAGGGGGAAAACUCAGAUUUUGAAAUUGUUGCAGCGUGAUUGGUUCAAUUUUGACAACAUUUGCAAAACCUAUCACACAUCAGACUAGACUCCUCCAUAUUAUUGAUAAUGCGUAAGAAGAAUGAAGAAUCAAUAGGUGAUACACCUAAAACAGAAUGAUGAGACUUUCUAUAGCUAAUGCAAUUCCUACUUCACAAUCUUCCAAGUCUCACACCUACUCCAUCAUUGUUCUUCCAAGACCUAUAUAAAGAACAUGGUGCACAACCCACUUGCAUAUUCAUCGAAGGAUCCUUCAUUCUCCACUUCUACAGAUCCCCAAGAACCUCAAACACAAAAAUCAAAGGAUGUUCAAGAUUCCAUCACCAUUUAUUUUCAUUGCAGUGCUGAUUGC